rnacentral:misc_RNA from 1 species
UACGAAGGGGGCUAGCGUUGUUCGGAAUUACUGGGCGUAAAGGGCGCGUAGGCGGCGCAUCAAGUCAGAUGUGAAAGCCCCGGGCUUAACCUGGGAACAGCAUUUGAGACUGGUGUGCUUGAGUUCCGGAGAGGUGGGUGGAAUUCCCAGUGUAGAGGUGAAAUUCGUAGAUAUUGGGAAGAACACCGGUGGCGAAGGCGGCCCACUGGACGGAUACUGACGCUGAGGCGCGAAAGCGUGGGGAGCAAACAGG